GGUCUUCUAUCGCCCUCUCACUCUCUCUCUCUCUCUCUCUCUCGCUCUCUCUCAUAGCUCUUUGCGGUCAUGCCUAUUAAUCAAUUUCAAAACCUUUCUAUUUUCUUUCUAUUCUUUUCUAGGCAACCAAACAAAGUUCUUGACUAGGUUUUUUAUUUUUAUUUUUAUUUUUUUUUAUGAUUUUCGUUUUGAUUUCCUCAUCAAGAUCAUCGCCAUCGAAUUGAUUUCACCGUCUCGCUCCUCCUUCAGCAAUUCACCGUUCUCCAAUUUCGGCAGUUAUAUGGUGGAGAAGAAUAGGAAACUUCAGAACAAGUUUGAAGCCGAAGCUUCGACUUCUUCUCAUGGUGGUUCGGGUUCUGUGAAGCCUAUAUUCGAUGGGGUUUCCAUCUUUGUCGAUGGUUUCACGGUUCCUUCCAGUCAGCUGGCCUUGAUUUGGGACCAAGCCUUAGGGAAAUUUGUGCUGCAAACAGGACAGAUGAAAAGCAGCAAAUAAAAGCACUUCUUCAGAGUGUUGGCACUUCCUUUUGCCCUGACUAUUCAGAUUGGUUUGGGGAUGAAGAAGCUGGUGACACCCAUUCAAGAAAUGCGGAUAAAUCUGUUCUUUCAAAAUUUUUACAAUCUUAUCCUGCUGAUUAUUCAACUACCAAAUUGCAGGAAAUGAUGCGCUUGAUGAGAGAAAAACGUUUCCCUGCUGCAUUUAAAUGUUACCAUAACACUAUAAAAAUUGCCUCACUGUUAAGUUUGGAUGGGUAGAAUCAAAUAUAUUCGUAGCUAAUGCUUUGGUAGAUUUUUAUUCUGCUUGUGGAAGUUUAGUUGAUGCAAAAAAAUCAUUUGAUAGUAUUCCAGUGGAGGAUGUGAUUUCAUGGAAUUCAAUUGUUGCAGUCUAUGCAGAUAAUGGUUUAUUGCAUGUUUUAAGCACAAAUACUAAGUUCAUUGUCAUCUACGGUUGCUCAAAGAAGAAAAAAUACUUUUAACUUUUGAUAACCCCAACUAGUAAAAAGGUAAAGGAUGCUUUUGUGUGUGUGUGUGCGCGCGCAUGCUUUUGGGUUGACUUGUUCUGAUCUGAAUCAUCUGAUUGGGAUGUUUAUAGGAUGACAUAUUGUCUUAGAGAAUCCUACGAAUAAGAUGUUGUUGAUGCACAUUUGUGGUUAAC